rnacentral:rRNA from 1 species
GUCGAGAAUCUUCCGCAAUGCGCGAAAGCGUGACGGAGCGACACCGCGUGAUGGAUGAAGUCCUUCGGGGCGUAAACAUCUUUUAUAAAGGAGGAAAUUUUUGACGUUACUUUAUGAAUAAGGGGCUCCCAAUCUCGUGCCAGCAGGAGCGGUAAUACGAGAGCCUCAAGCGUUAUCCGGAAUCAUUGGGCGUAAAGGGUGCGUAGGUGGUUUGAUUAGUCUCCCGUUAAAACUUCGAGCUUAACUCGAAAAGAGCGGGGGAAACGGUCAAACUAGAGUAUGUGAGAGGUGGGUGGAACGCAUGGUGUAGGGGUGAAAUUCGUUGAUAUCAUGGGGAACACCAAAAGCGAAGGCAGCACACUGGCACAUCACUGACACUGAGGCACGAAACCUAAGGUAGCGAAUGGGAUUAGAAACCCCUGUAGUCC